GGUCCCUUCGUCUAUCGGUUAGGACACUGGGUUUUCAUCCCAGCAAGAGGAGUUCGACUCUCCUAGGGAUCACCA
rnacentral:tRNA from 1 species